rnacentral:lncRNA from 1 species
GGAAAGAAAGUAACUUACCCCUCCUUGUUGACGAUAAACAAAUGGCUUGCUGAAGCCAUGAUAGGGACCGGAACUGUUGGGUCGGGUUGCUACCUGACCAUGAUUGCAUCCUUUUUGAAGCUAGAUAUAUAAGGGGUCCAUGAGUGGUUCAUAAAAGGAGGUAGCAUUGACACUAGGACAAUGAAAAAUGCACACUUAAUUGGUGGCGACGGAGAGAAAGGAUGUACAGUAGAGUCAUAAAUUUAAAGUUGCCUGACAGAAGAAUGGGGAUUUACCAUGUGGGCAAGACUAACUGGUGGGAAGAGGAAAUUUUAUUUCCCACAAAGAAAGACAAGAGAGGACAGAGAAUAGAAGAAGACUCAUCAUCACAGGCAGCUCCAGAAAUACCAGUGCCACCACCUUGCUCAAGCUACUAGUAGACGGAGUUUCAUAGUGCAC